UGGGGAAUAUUGCACAAUGGGCGCAAGCCUGAUGCAGCCAUGCCGCGUGUAUGAAGAAGGCCUUCGGGUUGUAAAGUACUUUCAGCGGGGAGGAAGGUGUUGAGGCUAAUAACCUCAGCAAUUGACGUUACCCGCAGAAGAAGCACCGGCUAACUCCGUGCCAGCAGCCGCGGUAAUACGGAGGGUGCAAGCGUUAAUCGGAAUUACUGGGCGUAAAGCGCACGCAGGCGGUCUGUCAAGUCGGAUGUGAAAUCCCCGGGCUCAACCUGGGAACUGCAUUCGAAACUGGCAGGCUAGAGUCUUGUAGAGGGGGGUAGAAUUCCAGGUGUAGCGGUGAAAUGCGUAGAGAUCUGGAGGAAUACCGGUGGCGAAGGCGGCCCCCUGGACAAAGACUGAUGCUCAGGUGCGAAAGCGUGGGGAGCAAACA
rnacentral:rRNA from 1 species